GAUGAACGCUGGCGGCGUGCCUAAUACAUGCAAGUAGAACGCUGAAGGAAGGAGCUUGCUCUUUCCGGAUGAGUUGCGAACGGGUGAGUAACGCGUAGGUAACCUGCCUGGUAGCGGGGGAUAACUAUUGGAAACGAUAGCUAAUACCGCAUAACAGUAGAUAUUGCAUGAUAUCUGCUUGAAAGGUGCAAUUGCAUCACUACCAGAUGGACCUGCGUUGUAUUAGCUAGUUGGUGAGGUAACGGCUCACCAAGGCGACGAUACAUAGCCGACCUGAGAGGGUGAUCGGCCACACUGGGACUGAGACACGGCCCAGACUCCUACGGGAGGCAGCAGUAGGGAAUCUUCGGCAAUGGACGGAAGUCUGACCGAGCAACGCCGCGUGAGUGAAGAAGGUUUUCGGAUCGUAAAGCUCUGUUGUAAGAGAAGAACGAGUGUGAGAGUGGAAAGUUCACACUGUGACGGUAUCUACCAGAAAGGACG
rnacentral:rRNA from 1 species